rnacentral:tRNA from 1 species
GCGAAGUGCAAUCCGCAAACGUACCCCUAAAGGGUGCCGGGGCUU